rnacentral:rRNA from 1 species
AGUCGACGGCAGCAUGGAGAGCUUGCUCUCUGAUGGCGAGUGGCGAACGGGUGAGUAAUAUAUCGGAACGUGCCCAGUAAUGGGGAAUAACUAAUUGAAAGAUUAGCUAAUACCGCAUACGACCUACGGGUGAAAGCAGGGGAUCUUCGGACCUUGCGUUAUUGGAGCGGCCGAUAUCUGAUUAGCUAGUUGGUAGGGUAAAAGCCUACCAAGGCGACGAUCAGUAGCUGGUCUGAGAGGACGAUCAGCCACACUGGAACUGAGACACGGUCCAGACUCCUACGGGAGGCAGCAGUGGGGAAUUUUGGACAAUGGGGGAAACCCUGAUCCAGCCAUCCCGCGUGAGUGAAGAAGGCCUUCGGGUUGUAAAGCUCUUUCGGAAGUGAAGAAAACUUAUUUCGUAAUAUGUUAUAAGAAUGACGGUAACUUUAGAAGAAGCACCGGCUAACUACGUGCCAGCAGCCGCGGUAAUACGUAGGGUGCGAGCGUUAAUCGGAAUUACUGGGCGUAAAGCGUGCGCAGGCGGUUUUGUAAGUCAGAUGUGAAAUCCCCGAGCUUAACUUGGGAACUGCGUUUGAAACUACAAGACUAGAGUGUGUCAGAGGGGGGUAGAAUUCCACGUGUAGCAGUGAAAUGCGUAGAGAUGUGGAGGAAUAUCAAUGGCGAAGGCAGCCCCCUGGGAUAACACUGACGCUCAUGCACGAAAGCGUGGGGAGCGAACAGGAUUAGAUACCCUGGUAGUCACGCCCUAACGAUGUCACU